rnacentral:rRNA from 1 species
GACAGAGGGUGCAAACGUUGUUCGGAAUUACUGGGCGUAAAGCGCGUGUAGGCUGCUCGGAAAGUCGGAUGUGAAAGCCCUGGGCUCAACCUAGGAAGUGCAUUCGAAACUUCCGAGCUGGAGUUCUGGAGAGGAAGGCGGAAUUCUCGGUGUAGAGGUGAAAUUCGUAGAUAUCGAGAGGAACACCGGUGGCGAAGGCGGCCUUCUGGACAGUAACUGACGCUGAGACGCGAAAGCGUGGGGAGCAAACAGG